rnacentral:rRNA from 1 species
CCUACGGGGUCGCAGCAGUGGGGAAUAUUGGACAAUGGGCGAAAGCCUGAUCCAGCCAUGCCGCGUGUGUGAAGAAGGCCUUCGGGUUGUAAAGCACUUUCAGUGGGGAAGAAAGCCUUGGGGCUAAUACCCUCGAGGAAGGACAUCACCCACAGAAGAAGCACCGGCUAACUCCGUGCCAGCAGCCGCGGUAAUACGGAGGGUGCGAGCGUUAAUCGGAAUUACUGGGCGUAAAGCGCGCGUAGGCGGUCUGAUAAGCCGGUUGUGAAAGCCCCGGGCUCAACCUGGGAACGGCAUCCGGAACUGUCAGGCUAGAGUGCAGGAGAGGAAGGUAGAAUUCCCGGUGUAGCGGUGAAAUGCGUAGAGAUCGGGAGGAAUACCAGUGGCGAAGGCGGCCUUCUGGACUGACACUGACGCUGAGGUGCGAAAGCGUGGGUAGCAAACAGGAUUAGAUACCCCUGUAGUC